rnacentral:rRNA from 1 species
UACGUAGGGGGCUAGCGUUGUCCGGAUUUAUUGGGCGUAAAGAGCGUGUAGGCGGCCAAGUAGGUCCGGUGUGAGAACUCGAGGCUUAACCUCGAGAUGUCAUCGGAAACCAUUUGGCUAGAGUCCGGAAGAGGAAAGUGGAAUUCCUGGUGUAGCGGUGAAAUGCGCAGAUAUCAGGAAGAACACCAAUGGCGAAAGCAGCUUUCUGGGACGGUACUGACGCUGAGACGCGAAAGCGUGGGGAGCGAACAGG